AAAAAUGUUACUUCAAAUCAAAACUAAAUUGAAUUAAAAUAUUAAUCUUUUACUUAAACUAAAAGUAAUUAUAACUCUGAUUUAACGGAAGUGUAGGGAAAUUAUUUGUUUGCUAACCCCACUAGGCAGUUUUCAUUAUUUCAAUAACCUGCCGUCAUUAUUUUAAUGACAUUUAUCGUUAAAUAAUAAAAUCCACGUUUAGUUUUAGCAUAUUUGGGUAAAUUUUUUGGAACUGUUAUUAUUGUGCUAUUAAAUAACGGUGACAAUACGCAACAUUAUUCUACACUUGGCAUCGUUUUGGUUAGUGUAUAGUGUCUAGUGAUUGAUUUUAUAACUAAAUGGAAGAAAUAAUUUUACAUUCUGUCGUCAUUGAAAAUAAUGCAUUUUCCGAAGAAUUUUCACACGAAUCAGCUCUACUAGAUGUACCAGGAGAGUUAAAAUGUGAUUGCUUCUUCAAUAUAUUUAUCGAUUGAUAUUGAUUUUGAAUAUAUAUAUGCUUCAAAAGAAAAUUCAUUGUUUGUUAAUUUGGAUCAAUUUAUUAUUAAGAUAAUUUCGUUAAUGAUAAAUAAAAUAAAGGAUGGAAACAGCAAAUUAUUACAUAAACGUUUAAUAGAAAUAAACAAAACUGAUAUUGAAACCAGAAAUCGUUUAGUUUUAGAUCUAAUGAAUGCUUUAUUAGUUCCAACUUCCAGAUCCUAUGAAAUAGAUUCAGUUACAAAUAAGAGACGUAUUGUAAAAACAUUGAUGAGAAAGUUCUUUUUUUAUGUAUAACAUUAAAUGAACUAUCUUAUAAUAAACAUUUUGUAAGCUUUGUUGUUUCUAAUGUUGAUACUGAUGAUCUCUAUGUAUUAAAAGAUAUUAAUGAUUUCUCAAGUCCACCAAUUUGUUUAU